GACUGGAUGUAAAGCAGAGAAGAACAGAAGUGGCUGGAGGAGCACAGUCAGAAGAUGCAGAGCCCUCAGCCCAGCAGAUGAUAGGCACCAGAGGGAAGGUGAGCCCGGUGAGGAAGGCAAUGCACCGACUUCUAACGUACAGUCCAACGUGACAGGGACCCUGCCUGUAAGAGGUCACGGUCAAGGGGUGUCAGACAGAAACUGCCAUGGGAGCAGCAAACUCUUGGGCAGUAUCUC